rnacentral:rRNA from 1 species
UACGUAGGGCGCAAGCGUUAUCCGGAAUUAUUGGGCGUAAAGAGCGCGUAGGCGGUCCGGUAAGUCGGCUGUGAAAGCCAAGGGCUCAACCCUUGAAAGCCGGCCGAUACUGUCGGACUAGAGUCCGGAAGAGGAGAGUGGAAUUCCUGGUGUAGCGGUGAAAUGCGCAGAUAUCAGGAAGAACACCCGUGGCGAAGGCGGCUCUCUGGGACGGUACUGACGCUGAGACGCGAAAGCGUGGGGAGCGAACAGG